rnacentral:rRNA from 1 species
UACGUAGGGUGCGAGCGUUGUCCGGAUUCACUGGGUUUAAAGGGUGCGUAGGUGGGUUGGUAAGUCAGUGGUGAAAUCCCCGAGCUUAACUUGGGAACUGCCAUUGAUACUAUCAGUCUUGAAUACCGUGGAGGUCAGCGGAAUAUGUCAUGUAGCGGUGAAAUGCUUAGAUAUGACAUAGAACACCAAUUGCGAAGGCAGCUGGCUACACGAAUAUUGACACUCAGGCACGAAAGCGUGGGGAUCAAACAGG